rnacentral:misc_RNA from 1 species
GGCAAGCUUUGUCUCCUUCGAUUCAUUAAUUAUAUAAACAGGAAAAACCCCACUUUAAUUUUAUUGUUAUUAGAGGUUACUCAGUACAAUGUGUUAAUGAUUACAACCCUUGCAAAACUGCCACAUGCAUUGUAUCCAAAAAUAUAAUAAAAUAAAAUCCAAGACAUUUAUGAUUGAUCUUAUUGCUCCUUUCCAUAUUGCACUACGUGGCCUGUUUAAACUUUGUUUUUUAUCAAUCAACCAACCCAAAAUGUGGUUCCGAGCCAGCCGUAGCCAGGCCUCUAUCUUAAGCCAAUGUUGGUGCAUUAAAAAAAUAUUAAAAAAAUUCAUAACCUUGACAAUAUAUGGCAAACAGUUGUCAGAGCUGCAACAUGGAUCUUUUACAGUGUUUUGGCUCAAUCCUGGCAGACUAAAUGAUUCUUGGCCACGUGACAUCAUGAUCCUGUUGGAUUUGGUUGAGAAAAUUUUGAUUUUUAGGUUAGCACCGUCCAUACAAAAUUUAAGCUCACAGUAGCCAAUCUGUGAGAACUAUACUAUUGUUUUCAAAGGGACAUCACGUCCCACUGAGAAUUGAUUACUCUUGUUCACCGCAAAGAAAGUGUCCGGUCCAUUUCAGCCACACACUUGUACGUCCUAGUUUCUUUAAGUUUCUGAGACUACUUUUUGUGGUGUGACACGAUGGCUUCCUGGAUUUUCUUUUGAUCAUAAAUACGCAUGAUGUUCAUGCCAGUGACAAUCAAAAAGCAUCCAACAAUAAUAUGAUCCAACAAUAAUAUGAUCCUGAUUAAUUUCUUCCCUUUCAUAUCGAAGGGAAUCAAAUCACUUGAGGGUUGACUCUGGGUGGAAUGUGGCAGAACCUAUUCUCCUCCUCCAUGUCUAAUUUCAAACAUAUCAGUCUUUGGGUGUCUUCACUCUUGUGCUCUAAAUUUUGAUCUCCCUGUGAAUUAUUGGAGAAAUAUGAUCGUUAUCCUGACUCUGUUUUGGAAUAUCAUCAGCAUUAUCAGCGCUGAUAUCACCAGAUGGACAAUCAUACCACCCUUCUCUCAUUUUCAUCUUUCGCGACGGACUUUUUGACACAUCCAUCAUCAUUCCUUGAUCUCUUCU